UAAGCGACUAAGCGUACACGGUGGAUGCCCUGGCAGUCAGAGGCGAUGAAGGACGUGCUAAUCUGCGAUAAGCGUCGGUAAGGUGAUAUGAACCGUUAUAACCGGCGAUUUCCGAAUGGGGAAACCCAGUGUGUUUCGACACACUAUCAUUAACUGAAUCCAUAGGUUAAUGAGGCGAACCGGGGGAACUGAAACAUCUAAGUACCCCGAGGAAAAGAAAUCAACCGAGAUUCCCCCAGUAGCGGCGAGCGAACGGGGAGCAGCCCAGAGCCUGAAUCAGUGUGUGUGUUAGUGGAAGCGUCUGGAAAGGCGCGCGAUACAGGGUGACAGCCCCGUACACAAAAAUGCACAUGCUGUGAGCUCGAUGAGUAGGGCGGGACACGUGGUAUCCUGUCUGAAUAUGGGGGGACCAUCCUCCAAGGCUAAAUACUCCUGACUGACCGAUAGUGAACCAGUACCGUGAGGGAAAGGCGAAAAGAACCCCGGCGAGGGGAGUGAAAAAGAACCUGAAACCGUGUACGUACAAGCAGUGGGAGCACGCUUAGGCGUGUGACUGCGUACCUUUUGUAUAAUGGGUCAGCGACUUAUAUUCUGUAGCAAGGUUAACCGAAUAGGGGAGCCGAAGGGAAACCGAGUCUUAACUGGGCGUUAAGUUGCAGGGUAUAGACCCGAAACCCGGUGAUCUAGCCAUGGGCAGGUUGAAGGUUGGGUAACACUAACUGGAGGACCGAACCGACUAAUGUUGAAAAAUUAGCGGAUGACUUGUGGCUGGGGGUGAAAGGCCAAUCAAACCGGGAGAUAGCUGGUUCUCCCCGAAAGCUAUUUAGGUAGCGCCUCGUGAAUUCAUCUCCGGGGGUAGAGCACUGUUUCGGCAAGGGGGUCAUCCCGACUUACCAACCCGAUGCAAACUGCGAAUACCGGAGAAUGUUAUCACGGGAGACACACGGCGGGUGCUAACGUCCGUCGUGAAGAGGGAAACAACCCAGACCGCCAGCUAAGGUCCCAAAGUCAUGGUUAAGUGGGAAACGAUGUGGGAAGGCCCAGACAGCCAGGAUGUUGGCUUAGAAGCAGCCAUCAUUUAAAGAAAGCGUAAUAGCUCACUGGUCGAGUCGGCCUGCGCGGAAGAUGUAACGGGGCUAAACCAUGCACCGAAGCUGCGGCAGCGACGCUUAUGCGUUGUUGGGUAGGGGAGCGUUCUGUAAGCCUGCGAAGGUGUGCUGUGAGGCAUGCUGGAGGUAUCAGAAGUGCGAAUGCUGACAUAAGUAACGAUAAAGCGGGUGAAAAGCCCGCUCGCCGGAAGACCAAGGGUUCCUGUCCAACGUUAAUCGGGGCAGGGUGAGUCGACCCCUAAGGCGAGGCCGAAAGGCGUAGUCGAUGGGAAACAGGUUAAUAUUCCUGUACUUGGUGUUACUGCGAAGGGGGGACGGAGAAGGCUAUGUUGGCCGGGCGACGGUUGUCCCGGUUUAAGCGUGUAGGCUGGUUUUCCAGGCAAAUCCGGAAAAUCAAGGCUGAGGCGUGAUGACGAGGCACUACGGUGCUGAAGCAACAAAUGCCCUGCUUCCAGGAAAAGCCUCUAAGCAUCAGGUAACAUCAAAUCGUACCCCAAACCGACACAGGUGGUCAGGUAGAGAAUACCAAGGCGCUUGAGAGAACUCGGGUGAAGGAACUAGGCAAAAUGGUGCCGUAACUUCGGGAGAAGGCACGCUGAUAUGUAGGUGAAGUCCCUUGCGGAUGGAGCUGAAAUCAGUCGAAGAUACCAGCUGGCUGCAACUGUUUAUUAAAAACACAGCACUGUGCAAACACGAAAGUGGACGUAUACGGUGUGACGCCUGCCCGGUGCCGGAAGGUUAAUUGAUGGGGUUAGCGGUAACGCGAAGCUCUUGAUCGAAGCCCCGGUAAACGGCGGCCGUAACUAUAACGGUCCUAAGGUAGCGAAAUUCCUUGUCGGGUAAGUUCCGACCUGCACGAAUGGCGUAAUGAUGGCCAGGCUGUCUCCACCCGAGACUCAGUGAAAUUGAACUCGCUGUGAAGAUGCAGUGUACCCGCGGCAAGACGGAAAGACCCCGUGAACCUUUACUAUAGCUUGACACUGAACAUUGAGCCUUGAUGUGUAGGAUAGGUGGGAGGCUUUGAAGUGUGGACGCCAGUCUGCAUGGAGCCGACCUUGAAAUACCACCCUUUAAUGUUUGAUGUUCUAACGUGGACCCGUAAUCCGGGUUGCGGACAGUGUCUGGUGGGUAGUUUGACUGGGGCGGUCUCCUCCUAAAGAGUAACGGAGGAGCACGAAGGUUGGCUAAUCCUGGUCGGACAUCAGGAGGUUAGUGCAAUGGCAUAAGCCAGCUUGACUGCGAGCGUGACGGCGCGAGCAGGUGCGAAAGCAGGUCAUAGUGAUCCGGUGGUUCUGAAUGGAAGGGCCAUCGCUCAACGGAUAAAAGGUACUCCGGGGAUAACAGGCUGAUACCGCCCAAGAGUUCAUAUCGACGGCGGUGUUUGGCACCUCGAUGUCGGCUCAUCACAUCCUGGGGCUGAAGUAGGUCCCAAGGGUAUGGCUGUUCGCCCUUUAAAGUGGUACGCGAGCUGGGUUUAGAACGUCGUGAGACAGUUCGGUCCCUAUCUGCCGUGGGCGCUGGAGAAUUGAGGGGGGCUGCUCCUAGUACGAGAGGACCGGAGUGGACGCAUCACUGGUGUUCGGGUUGUCAUGCCAAUGGCACUGCCCGGUAGCUAAAUGCGGAAGAGAUAAGUGCUGAAAGCAUCUAAGCACGAAACUUGCCCCGAGAUGAGUUCUCCCUGACUCCUUGAGAGUCCUGAAGGAACGUUGAAGACGACGACGUUGAUAGGCCGGGUGUGUAAGCGCAGCGAUGCGUUGAGCUAACCGGUACUAAUGAACCGUGAGGCUUAACCU
rnacentral:rRNA from 1 species